AUUGAACGCUGGCGGCAGGCUUAACACAUGCAAGUCGAGCGGAGAGAGGUAGCUUGCUACUGAUCUUAGCGGCGGACGGGGGAGUAAUGCUUAGGAAUCUGCCUAUUAGUGGGGGACAACAUUUCGAAAGGAAUGCUAAUACCGCAUACGUCCUACGGGAGAAAGCAGGGGAUCUUCGGACCUUGCGCUCAUAGAUGAGCCUAAGUCGGAUUAGCUAGUUGGUGGGGUAAAGGCCUACCAAGGCGACGAUCUGUAGCGGGUCUGAGAGGAUGAUCCGCCACACUGGGACUGAGACACGGCCCAGACUCCUACGGGAGGCAGCAGUGGGGAAUAUUGGACAAUGGGCGCAAGCCUGAUCCAGCCAUGCCGCGUGUGUGAAGAAGGCCUUAUGGUUGUAAAGCACUUUAAGCGAGGAGGAGGCUACUUUAGUUAAUACCUAGAGAUAGUGGACGUUACUCGCAGAAUAAGCACCGGCUAACUCUGUGCCAGCCGCCGCGGUAAAAC
rnacentral:rRNA from 1 species